GAUGGGUCAAGAGAAGGACGAGCAAGUGUCAAGCUUUUGAAAAUCGAAGUAUAUGAUAUUUUAGACAAAUCACACAUCAAAAUUAGAGAUAGUGAAAGUGUCAAUUUGUUUGUUUGUUUUUGUUUACUUGAGGUUUUAAAUUUUGUCUUGUUUCAAUUGAACUAUUGAGUAUAGUGGAGUGAAUUUGAUUCAUGUGAAAGUAGUAG
rnacentral:lncRNA from 1 species